AUACGGAGGAGGCAAGCGUUGUUCGGAAUCACUGGGCUUAAAGCGCGUGUAGGCGGCUCGGCAAGUAUCUUGUGAAAGCCCUCGGCUCAACCGAGGAAUUGCGUGGUAAACUGUCGGGCUUGAGGUGAGUAGGGGUGUCUGGAACUCUAGGUGGAGCGGUGAAAUGCGUAGAUAUCUAGAGGAACGCCUGUGGCGAAAGCGGGACACUGGGCUCAUCCUGACGCUGAGACGCGAAAGCGUAGGGAGCAAACGGGAUUAGAAACCCCAGUAGUCC
rnacentral:rRNA from 1 species